rnacentral:rRNA from 1 species
ACAGGGGGAUAACAGCUGGAAACGGCUGCUAAUACCGCAUAAGCGCACGAGGAGACAUCUCCUAGUGUGAAAAACUCCGGUGGUACAGGAUGGGCCCGCGUCUGAUUAGCUGGUUGGCAGGGUAACGGCCUACCAAGGCAACGAUCAGUAGCCGGUCUGAGAGGAUGAACGGCCACAUUGGAACUGAGACACGGUCCAAACUCCUACGGGAGGCAGCAGUGGGGAAUAUUGCACAAUGGGGGAAACCCUGAUGCAGCAACGCCGCGUGAGUGAAGAAGUAUUUCGGUAUGUAAAGCUCUAUCAGCAGGGAAGAUAAUGACGGUACCUGACUAAGAAGCUCCGGCUAAAUACGUGCCAGCAGCCGCGGUAAUACGUAUGGAGCAAGCGUUAUCCGGAUUUACUGGGUGUAAAGGGUGCGUAGGUGGCAGUGCAAGUCAGAUGUGAAAGGCCGGGGCUCAACCCCGGAGCUGCAUUUGAAACUGCUCGGCUAGAGUACAGGAGAGGCAGGCGGAAUUCCUAGUGUAGCGGUGAAAUGCGUAGAUAUUAGGAGGAACACCAGUGGCGAAGGCGGCCUGCUGGACUGUUACUGACACUGAGGCACGAAAGCGUGGGGAGCAAACAGGAUUAGAUACCCUGGUAGUCCACGCCGUAAACGA